rnacentral:rRNA from 1 species
AGGACCUGCAUGUCUAGUAUAAGCAAUUAUACCGUGAAACUGCGAAUGGCUCAUUAAAUCAGUUAUCGUUUAUUUGAUAAUACCUUACUACUUGGAUAACCGUGGUAAUUCUAGAGCUAAUACAUGCUGAAAAUCCCGACUUCGGAAGGGAUGUGUUUAUUAGAUAAAAAACCAAUGCCCUUCGGGGCUUUUUGGUGAUUCAUGAUAACUUUACGGAUCGCAUAGCCUUGCGCUGGCGACGGUUCAUUCAAAUUUCUGCCCUAUCAACUUUCGAUGGUAAGGUAUUGGCUUACCAUGGUUUCAACGGGUAACGGGGAAUUAGGGUUCGAUUCCGGAGAGGGAGCCUGAGAAACGGCUACCACAUCCAAGGAAGGCAGCAGGCGCGCAAAUUACCCAAUCCCGACACGGGGAGGUAGUGACAAUAAAUACUGAUACAGGGCUCUUUUGGGUCUUGUAAUUGGAAUGAGUACAAUUUAAACCUCUUAACGAGGAACAAUUGGAGGGCAAGUCUGGUGCCAGCAGCCGCGGUAAUUCCAGCUCCAAUAGCGUAUAUUAAAGUUGUUGCAGUUAAAAAGCUCGUAGUUGAAACUUGGGCCUGGCUGGCGGGUCCGCCUCACCGCGUGCACUCGUCCGGCCGGGCCUUCCUUCUGAAGAACCUCAUGCCCUUCACUGGGCGUGCUGGGGAAUCAGGACUUUUACUUUGAAAAAAUUAGAGUGUUCAAAGCAGGCCUUUGCUCGAAUACGUUAGCAUGGAAUAAUAAAAUAGGGCGUGCGUUUCUAUUUUGUUGGUUUCUAGAGACGCCGCAAUGAUUAACAGGAACAGUCGGGGGCAUCAGUAUUCAGUUGUCAGAGGUGAAAUUCUUGGAUUUACUGAAGACUAACUACUGCGAAAGCAUUUGCCAAGGAUGUUUUCAUUAAUCAGUGAACGAAAGUUAGGGGAUCGAAGACGAUCAGAUACCGUCGUAGUCUUAACCGUAAACUAUGCCGACUAGGGAUCGGGCGAUGUUCUUUUUCUGACUCGCUCGGCACCUUACGAGAAAUCAAAGUUUUUGGGUCCUGGGGGGAUAUUCGCACGGCCCUC